rnacentral:rRNA from 1 species
CCCUUAGAUGUCCUGGGCUGCACGCGCGCUACACUGGAAGUUACGGAUUGAGAUACUACCUUGUCCGAAAUGGUCCGGGUAAUCACCUAAAAGCUUGUCAUAAUUGGAAUGGAUUAUUGUAACUAGUAAUCCUGAACGAGGAAUUCCUAGUAAGUCCCAGUCAACAGCUGGUACUGAUUACGUCCCUGCCCUUUGUACACACCGCCCGUCGCUACUACUGAUUGGACGUGUAAGCAAGAUUUUUAAACACUGACAGUGUGUAGUUCACGCUAUACUACAGUGAGAAGAAGAAGAUCGAGCUUACUUGUCUAGAGGAAGUAAAAGUCGUAACA